GACGUAGGAGGCGAGCGUUGUCCGGAUUCAUUGGGCGUAAAGAGCGCGCAGGCGGCUUGGUAAGUCGGAUGUGAAAUCUCCGAGCUCAACUCGGAAACUGCAUUGGAAACUACCUUGCUCGAGGGUUGGAGGGGGGACUGGAAUGCUUGGUGUAGCAGUGAAAUGCGUAGAUAUCAAGCGGAACACCAGUGGCGAAGGCGAGUCCCUGGACAACUCCUGACACUGAUGCACGAAAGCUAGGGGAGCAAACAGG
rnacentral:rRNA from 1 species